rnacentral:sRNA from 1 species
CGAGAGUCAGCUUCCUUAAGUUCGUUGUUCUUCAGUAGCUCAGUGGUAGAAUGAUCGGUUGUAACUGACUGGUUGUAGGUUCAAAUCCUACUUGGGGAGA